rnacentral:lncRNA from 1 species
GUCCUUCCUGGUCUUUUGUUAACUGAUCACCUGUCUGGGCAGCAAGAAUUGACAGCUUCAACUGGAAAACUCAUUUAGGUGGAGUUCUGAGCAAGUCUGCUAAUGAUGAACUUCCUUCUUCAGUUCUUGACAGAAACCGUCUCCAGUGUUUCCAUUGCCUCAACGCAGCUCGGAGGACUUCUCUGCCCACUGUGGUCUGGCUGCCCCCCACCCCCCCGCUCCCGGCACCCACUCCUCCUGGAAGGGCUGCUCCUGCCAAGGUCGUCAACAACCUCCUUGCUCCAGACCAUGCCCAGCGCGCCUCCUUGGUCCGCACUGUCCUUGGCAUCCUGUCUCCGGGGACCAGCUCCCAGGCUCGGCUCCUGCCUCUGCACCGCCUCCCUCUCCAUCUCUGUUGCAGGCUCUCCUUCCCACCCCCGGCCUUGAACACAGCCCUCCUCUGCUUUUUCCCCAUCACAACGGGGCUAUUUCUCCUGUGUGUCGCAGGCACCGAAUUUCAUUAUGUCACAAGCGGAGCGAUGCCUCUCAUACCCCCACCCAUACCUGCCCAGACCUGAGAGCUGCUGUCCUAUGCUCCCCGCCCAGGAAAGCCACCAUCGUCCACAAGGGGGCUUGUCCCCUCCCCUCCCCCACCAUCCCCCACAAAUCGUUGCCCAGAGCUGCCCUUGACCUGUCAGAUCCCCUCACCUCUGCCUCCUUCCAUCCACCCCGGAUGCCACGAUUCCUGCCUGGAUUCCUGGAAGUGCCCCCUCACUAGUCUCCCUUCUCUCCAACCACUUCUCCAAACCACAGACCGAAUGCUCUUUCUAAAAUGAAAAUCUUGGAGUUCCCAUGGUGGCUCAGCAGGUGAAGAACCCAACAUAGUGUCCAUGAGGAUGCGGGUUCGAUUCCUGGCCUCGCUCAGUGGGUUAAGGAGUAGGCAUUGCUGCAAGCUGCAGUGUAGGUGGCAGAUGCUGCUGAGAUGCCAUUGCUGUGGCUGUGGCUAGGCUGGCAGCUGCAGCUCCCACUGACCCCUAGCCUAGGAACUUCCAUAUGCCGCAGGUUCAGCCCUUGAAAGAAAAAAUAAAAUAAUAAAAUAAAA